GUUCAAGGGUUUUUCCAGUGUAAUGAUAUUUUGCAUUGGCAGCUCAUGCCUCAGUGCUCUGGGAGUGUUUAUAGUCCUGUGAACGAUUUUAACACACAAGAUCUGUCCACUCUAAAACAGAAGCCAAUAUGAUUCUCUUCAUCUGGGCAUUUUACUGCAUCCAAGGCUCUUUGGGACAGGUCGUUGUGACUCAACCUGAGGUUAAAUCAGUUCAGCUUGGUCAAACAGUCUCUAUUGAUUGUAAGGUCAACACUGUAGUUUAUAGGUAUCCUGAGGGUUCAGUAUCCAAAGAUUACUACAUCUUCUGGUUCAUUCAGAAGGCAGAGGAACCUCCUAAACUCCUUAUAUAUUACACAACAAUGAAGCCCUCGAGUGCUCCAUCUAGAAUGAGCGGUGGAGGCAGUUUUCACUCUGGAGGAAAUGGUCUUGAUUUCACUCUGACCAUCAGUGAUGUCCAGCUUGAAGAUGCAGGAGAUUUUUAUUGUCAGAGUCAACAUAAGAUAAGUGACAAUUGGGUGUUCACACAGUGAAAAAAUGCUGCACAAAAACCUCCCUUGGUUAAACCUCAGAGAAUCCUCUGAUGCAUCCGAGACCUACAGGUCUGAAAUAAGAACAAAAACAGGGGUUACUUUAUUUGUAUUCUUAUUUAUUUCAGUGUUCCCUAUCAGUAGAAAUAAUAAUUUAAUUUCUUGCUGUUCCUGUUACAUAUCUAAUUUUUGUCAACCAAAUCAGUUGUUCUAUGAUAUUUUUCAUACAGUACAGUGCUUCACAUUCAUAUAGAAAAAGCAUAUAAUCGAUACAUCUAGGUUAAUAUGUAAUGUGUGAGUUGUUCAGUAUGCAAAGAUAAAAUUGUUUUACACAAAGUAGAGAAGCAGAAAUACUUAUUCAUUAGUUAUGAAAAAAGUCUUUUAAUGUAGUUGUCUAACUCUACAAUUACAUUCAGAGAUUCUCACAUUCAUACAAGUACAUUUAUGACAUAAGUAGUAAAUAUGUAUUUUAUAAAGUUUGAAACUUAUACAGCCUAUGGUACUAUAGGAACAUGAAAUUGUCCAGCCAUGACUUCUUGUUUCACAGGAGUAUGAGGAAACACAAAGGCCAAAUUCCCUUAAUCAUUCAUCACAAUGAGUAAAACCAAAGAGUUCUGAUGUGCAGCAAAAUAUUAUUGAGCUACACAAAAUAGAAAGUGUCUGUAAGAAAAUAGCUAAAGCAUCAAAAAGUCCCAUUUCAUAUAUAAACUGUUGUUUCAAAGUUAUUAUAUAUACAGUAUGUUGAUAAAAUAAGGUCAUGUAAAAUGCAGAAGUCAGGCUCGUCCGGGAUUUGAACCCAGGACCUCUCGCACCCUAAGCGAGAAUCAUA